rnacentral:lncRNA from 1 species
AGGCACCCCAUAAUACCUAGGUCCCUAUCAUACAAAUUGAUAAGCACUUGAGGAAUCCACCCUUAAAAGCUAGAUUUUAAGGGGGGAGAACCAAACACUUAUAUACUCCAUCAAGCAUCCCAACUCGACAAGAGACUUAGGCAUCCCAUAAUACCUAGGUCCCAAACAUAGCACUGCCCUUGAGGUCGACGUUUCGGCGGCUCACACUCUACGACACUUCAUUCAAUGGUACUUUACUCAAUUUCCUUAUUGGUCAGAACCCUCCAUCGGUCAAAAUCUUCCUCAGGUUGCCCUUUCCAUAACACCGAAAACCAGCUUGGAAAUUAAUUGAUAAGCACUUGGGAAACCCACCCUUAAAAGCUAGCUGUUAAGGGGGAAGAACCAAGUACUUAAAUACUCCAUCGAGCAUCCCAUAAUACCUAGGUCCCUAUCAAAGAAACCGAGAGAUAAAGCAUGCAAAUGAUCCCUGCAAUCACCACCUUCAACUUCAAGGGAAAAAAUGGUUUGGCAUACUUAAAAGAAAAAGAAAAAAAAAAGGUUUGGUAUAUCCUUCCAUUCUAUACCUAUAAAAGGAUUUUGUUUUGACAUUAUUGAUCAGUUAAACAUACAUAUAUGUCAUUGUCAAUAUGCUGUUUAUGUGAGUGGUAUGUGAUACAUCAAAAUAUGUAUUAAAUAGUCUAAGAAGACAUAUGAACAACAUAUUCAUCAAAUAUUAGCAAUUGAUAUGAUUGGGAUAUCAAACUAAUUGCUGCUCCUAAAUCUCUGCUCACAAUAAACUAAAAAAAGUCUUGAUGGUUUCCUUAAACUUAGAUCAGCAUAGGAUUAGGAAACAGGACAAAAGCUGAACAGCCAAUAGAUUUUUCAACAAGAUUAUGUUAACCUCUC